GAUGAACGCUGGCGGCGUGCUUAACACAUGCAAGUCGAACGAAGCACUUUAUUUGAUUUCCUUCGGGACUGAUUAUUUUGUGACUGAGUGGCGGACGGGUGAGUAACGCGUGGGUAACCUGCCUUGUACAGGGGGAUAACAGUUGGAAACGGCUGCUAAUACCGCAUAAGCGCACGGCAUCGCAUGAUGCAGUGUGAAAAACUCCGGUGGUAUAAGAUGGACCCGCGUUGGAUUAGCUAGUUGGUGAGGUAACGGCCCAUCAAGGCGACGAUCCAUAGCCGACCUGAGAGGGUGACCGGCCACAUUGGGACUGAGACACGGCCCAAACUCCUACGGGAGGCAGCAGUGGGGAAUAUUGCACAAUGGGCGAAAGCCUGAUGCAGCGACGCCGCGUGAGCGAAGAAGUAUUUCGGUAUGUAAAGCUCUAUCAGCAGGGAAGAUAAUGACGGUACCUGACGAAGAAGCACCGGCUAAAUACGUG
rnacentral:rRNA from 1 species